AUACCUCUCGCGGGAGAGAUUGCCGUAAAGUUUCUUAAGCGAAACAAUACGGGCAGCGCCGAAGGAGCAACCGCCCCGGAAACUCUCAGGCACAUGGACCGCAAGAGGCAG
rnacentral:ncRNA from 2 species